rnacentral:rRNA from 1 species
UACGGGGGGGGCAAGCGUUGUUCGGAAUUACUGGGCGUAAAGGGCUCGUAGGUGGCCAACUAAGUCAGACGUGAAAUCCCUCGGCUUAACCGGGGAACUGCGUCUGAUACUGGAUGGCUUGAGUUUGGGAGAGGGACGCGGAAUUCCAGGUGUAGCGGUGAAAUGCGUAGAUAUCUGGAGGAACACCAGGUGGCGAAAGCGG